rnacentral:rRNA from 2 species
UAGCUAGUUGGUGGGGUAAGGGCCUACCAAGGCGACGAUCGGUAGCUGGUCUGAGAGGAUGACCAGCCACACUGGAACUGAGACACGGUCCAGACUCCUACGGGAGGCAGCAGUGGGGAAUAUUGGACAAUGGGGGCAACCCUGAUCCAGCAAUGCCGCGUGUGUGAAGAAGGCCUGAGGGUUGUAAAGCACUUUCAGUGGGGAGGAGGGUUGAUAGGUUAAGAGCUGAUUAACUGGACGUUACCCACAGAAGAAGCACCGGCUAACUCCGUGCCAGCAGCCGCGGUAAUACGGAGGGUGCGAGCGUUAAUCGGAAUUACUGGGCGUAAAGGGUGCGUAGGUGGUUGAUUAAGUUAUCUGUGAAAUUCCUGGGCUUAACCUGGGACGGUCAGAUAAUACUGGUUGACUCGAGUAUGGGAGAGGGUAGUGGAAUUUCCGGUGUAGCGGUGAAAUGCGUAGAGAUCGGAAGGAACACCAGUGGCGAAGGCGGCUACCUGGCCUAAUACUGACACUGAGGCACGAAAGCGUGGGGAGCAAACAGGAUUAGAUACCCUGGUAGUCCACGCUGUAAACGAUGUCAACUAGCUGUUGGUUAUAUGAAAAUAAUUAGUGGCGC